rnacentral:SRP_RNA from 13 species
GCGUCGGUGAGGGGUCGGGUCGCCGCGUCCAGCGUGACCCUCAGCGCUGAGGCCGGCCUCACUGCGCAGCGCGUUCACGCCGCUCGC